UACGUAGGGGGCAUGCGUUGUCCGGAUUUACUGGGCGUAAAGAGCGUGUAGGCGGCCAAACAGGUCCGUUGUGAAAACUGGAGGCUCAACUUCCAGACGUCGACGGAAACCGUGUGGCUAGAGUCCGGAAGAGGAGAGUGGAAUUCCUGGUGUAGCGGUGAAAUGCGCAGAUAUCAGGAAGAACACCAAUGGCGAAGGCAGCUCUCUGGGACGGUACUGACGCUGAGACGCGAAAGCGUGGGGAGCGAACAGG
rnacentral:rRNA from 1 species